UCGGGAAUUUUGGGCAAUGGGCGAAAGCCUGACCCAGCAACGCCGCGUGAAGGAUGAAGUAUUUCGGUAUGUAAACUUCGAAAGAAUAGGAAGAAUAAAUGACGGUACUAUUUAUAAGGUCCGGCUAACUACGUGCCAGCAGCCGCGGUAAUACGUAGGGACCAAGCGUUGUUCAGAUUUACUGGGCGUAAAGGGCGCGUAGGCGGCAAUUCAAGUCAUCUGUGAAAUCUCCGGGCUUAACUCGGAACGGUCAGAUGAUACUGCUUUGCUAGAGUGCAGAAGGGGCAAUCGGAAUUCUUGGUGUAGCGGUGAAAUGCGUAGAUAUCAAGAGGAACACCUGAGGUGAAGACGGGUUGCUGGGCUGACACUGACGCUGAGGCGCGAAAGCCAGGGGAGCAAACAGGAUUAGAUACCCGCGUAGUCCCUGAGCGGGCUGGCAAGGCGCAU
rnacentral:rRNA from 1 species